rnacentral:rRNA from 1 species
GUGGGGAAUUUUGGACAAUGGACGAAAGNCCNUUUCNANNCAUGCCGCGUGCGGGAAGAAGGCCUUCGGGUUGUAAACCGCUUUUGUCAGGGAAGAAAUCCUUUGAGCUAAUACCUCGGGGGGAUGACGGUACCUGAAGAAUAAGCACCGGCUAACUACGUGCCAGCAGCCGCGGUAAUACGUAGGGUGCAAGCGUUAAUCGGAAUUACUGGGCGUAAAGCGUGCGCAGGCGGUUAUGUAAGACAGAGGUGAAAUCCCCGGGCUCAACCUGGGAACUGCCUUUGUGACUGCAUAGCUUGAGUGCGGCAGAGGGGGAUGGAAUUCCGCGUGUAGCAGUGAAAUGCGUAUAUNUGNGGAGGAACACCGAUGGCGAAGGCAAUCCCNUGGGCCUGCACUGACGCUCAUGCACGAAAGCGUGGGGAGCAAACAGGAUUAGAUACCCUGGNAGUCCACGCCCUAAACAGAUGUCAACUGGUUGUUGGGAAGGUUCCUUCUCAGUAACGUAGCCUAACGCGUGAAGUUGACCGCCNGGGGAGUACGGNCGCAAGGUUG